rnacentral:rRNA from 1 species
UUGAACGCUGGCGGCAGGCCUAACACAUGCAAGUCGAGCGGAUGAAGGGAGCUUGCUCCUGGAUUCAGCGGCGGACGGGUGAGUAAUGCCUAGGAAUCUGCCUGGUAGUGGGGGAUAACGUCCGGAAACGGGCGCUAAUACCGCAUACGUCCUGAGGGAGAAAGUGGGGGAUCUUCGGACCUCACGCUAUCAGAUGAGCCUAGGUCGGAUUAGCUAGUUGGUGGGGUAAAGGCCUACCAAGGCGACGAUCCGUAACUGGUCUGAGAGGAUGAUCAGUCACACUGGAACUGAGACACGGUCCAGACUCCUACGGGAGGCAGCAGUGGGGAAUAUUGGACAAUGGGCGAAAGCCUGAUCCAGCCAUGCCGCGUGUGUGAAGAAGGUCUUCGGAUUGUAAAGCACUUUAAGUUGGGAGGAAGGGCAGUAAGUUAAUACCUUGCUGUUUUGACGUUACCAACAGAAUAAGCACCGGCUAACUUCGUGC